rnacentral:snRNA from 1 species
GGAUGUGACGGCAAUCUGACUUCUUCAUCUGUCACCCCAAUCAUCACCAGGAUUGAUUCGGCUGAUCUGGCUGGCUAGGCGGGUGUCCCCCUCCUCUCUCACUACUCCCAUGUGCAUCCCUCCCAAAGUUGUCAGGCUGGUUGAAAAAGGACUGGGCUUCCCUUUUCAAAUGGAGACAGAUGGUCAAGUAGCUGUGCUCCCCCUAAUAGAACCUCCAAACAAGCUCUCAAAGUUCUGAGAGACAGUAAUUUUCAACCUAAAUUUUAUGCUCAGCAAAAACAUCCUUUAAAAAUGAGAGUUUAAUACUAUUU